rnacentral:rRNA from 1 species
GGGCGUAAGAGCUCGUAGGCGGUUCAGUAAGUCGGGUGUGAAAACUCUGGGCUUAACCCGGAGACGCCACCCGAUACUGCUGAACUUGAGUUCGGUAGGGGAGCGGGGAAUUCCUGGUGUAGCGGUGAAAUGCGCAGAUAUCAGGAGGAACACCGGUGGCGAAGGCGCCGCUCUGGGCCGAAACUGACGCUGAGGAGCGAAAGCGUGGGUAGCAAACAGGAUUAGAUACCCUGGUAGUCCACGCCGUAAACGUUGGGCACUAGGUGUGGGUUCCAACCAACGGAAUCCGUGCCGUCGCUAACGCAUUAAGUGCCCCGCCUGGGGAGUACGGCCGCAAGGCUAAAACUCAAAGGAAUUGACGGGGCCCCGCACAAGCAGCGGAGCGUGUUGCUUAAUUCGAUGCGACGCGAAGAACCUUACCUGGGCUUGACAUGCAGGGAAAAGCCGUAAAGAUACGGUGUCCUUCGGGGCCUUGCACAGGUGGUGCAUGGCUGUCGUCAGCUCGUGUCGUGGGAUGUUGGGUUAAGUCCCGCAACGAGCGCAACCCUUGUCCUAUGUUGCCAGCGGGUAAUGCCGGGGACUCGUAGGAGACUGUCGGGGUCAACUCGGAGGAAGGUAAU